AUUGAACGCUGGCGGCAUGCUUUACACAUGCAAGUCGAACGGUAGAGGGGGCAACCCCUUGAGAGUGGCGAACGGGUGAGUAAUGCAUCGGAACGUGCCCAGUCGUGGGGGAUAACGCAGCGAAAGCUGUGCUAAUACCGCAUACGAUCUCUGGAUGAAAGCGGGGGACCGAAAGGCCUCGCGCGAUUGGAGCGGCCGAUGUCAGAUUAGGUAGUUGGUGGGGUAAAGGCUCACCAAGCCAACGAUCUGUAGCUGGUCUGAGAGGACGACCAGCAAAACUGGGACUGAGAGACGGCCCAGACUCCUACGGGAGGCAGCAGUGGGGAAUGGUGGACAAUGGGCGCAAGCCUGAUCCAGCAAUGCCGCGUGCAGGAAGAAGGCCUUCGGGUUGUAAACUGCUUUUGUACGGAACGAAAAGGUCUGGGUUAAUACCCUGGGCACAUGACGGUACCGUAAGAAUAAGCACCGGCUAACUACGUGCCAGCCGCCGCGGUAA
rnacentral:rRNA from 1 species